rnacentral:rRNA from 1 species
AGUGAACGCUGGCGGCGUGCCUAAUACAUGCAAGUCGAACGGAGAUUAAGUAGCUUGCUAUUUAAUCUUAGUGGCGCACGGGUGAGUAAUAUAUAGCUGACUUGCCCAUUACUAAGGGACAACAGUUGGAAACGACUGCUAAUACCUUAUACUCCGUAUCUAUAUAAGUAGAUACGGGAAAGUUUUUCGGUAAUGGAUAGGGCUAUAUCGUAUCAGCUAGUUGGUAAGGUAAUGGCUUACCAAGGCUAUGACGCGUAACUGGUCUGAGAGGAUGAUCAGUCACACUGGAACUGAGACACGGUCCAGACUCCUACGGGAGGCAGCAGUAGGGAAUAUUGCUCAAUGGGGGAAACCCUGAAGCAGCAACGCCGCGUGGAGGAUGACACUUUUCGGAGCGUAAACUCCUUUUCUUGGGAAAGAAUUAUGACGGUACCCAAGGAAUAAGCACCGGCUAACUCCGUG